rnacentral:rRNA from 1 species
UACCAGCACCCCGAGUGGUCGGGACGAUUAUUGGGCCUAAAGCAUCCGUAGCCGGCCUUACAAGUCCUCCGUUAAAUCCAGCUGCUUAACAGAUGGGCUGCGGAGGAUACUAUAAGACUAGGAGGCAGGAGAGGCAAGCGGUACUCAGUGGGUAGGGGUAAAAUCCUGUAAUCCUUCGGGGAGGACCAGUGGCGAAGGCGCUACACUAGAACGGCUCUGACAGUGAGGGACGAAGCCCUGGGGCGCAAACCGG